rnacentral:tRNA from 1 species
UGGGAUGUGGCUCAAGCAGUAGCGCAGUUGCCUGUCAUGCACUGGGCGCUGGGUUCAAUCCACAGCACCACAU